UACGAAGGGGGCUAGCGUUGUUCGGAAUUACUGGGCGUAAAGGGCGCGUAGGCGGUUCGAUAAGUCCCGUGUGAAAUCCCUCGGCUCAACUGAGGAAUGGCACGGGAAACUGACGGGCUUGAGUUCGGGAGAGGGAAGCGGAAUUCCGGGUGUAGCGGUGAAAUGCGUAGAUAUCCGGAGGAACACCGGUGGCGAAGGCGGCUUCCUGGACCGACACUGACGCUGAGGCGCGAAAGCUAGGGGAGCAAACGGG
rnacentral:rRNA from 1 species